rnacentral:lncRNA from 1 species
AAACCAUAAUGCUGACUAAAGAAAGAUUAUGUUUAGGGUUUAAAACCCUAAUGCUGGCUGAAAGGGAAAGUUCAGUUUGGGGUUUAAAACCCUAAUGCUGAUUGCAUGAAAAAGCUCAGUUUAGAGUUUAAAACUCUAAUGCUGGCUGACAGGAAAAAGUUCAGUUUAGGGUUUAAAACCCUAAUGCUGACUGAAAGGAAAACUCAGUUUAGGGUUUAAAACCCUAAUGCUGAUUGCAUGAAAAAGCUCAGUUUAGAGUUUAAAACUCUAAUGCUGGCCGAAGGGAAAAAGUUCAGUUUAGGGUUUAAAACCCUAGAUGCUAACUAAAAGGAAAAUUCAGUUUAGGGUUUAAAACCUUAAUGCUGAUUGCAUGAAAAAGCUCAGUUUAGAGUUUAAAACUCCAAUGCUGGCUGAAAGGAAAAUUCAGUUUAGGGUUUAAAACCCUAAUGCUGAUUGCAUGAAAAAGCUCAGUUUAGAGUUUAAAACUCUAAUGCUGGCUGGAAGGAAAAAGUUCAGUUUAGGGUUUAAAACCCUAAUGCUGAUUAAAAGGAAAAUUCAGUUUAAG